ACAUAAGAUUUUGUGGUAUCCACUUGUGUAAAUAUUUUAAAUUGACGAUCAAAUUCAUUCAUUAUAGUGGUAUAGGAUGAAGGAGUGUAGUUGUAAAAAAUCAUCAAAAUCGAAGUUAAAAGAACCGUUAAAUCGUGAUUUUUUUUUUUAUAACCGUCGAAACGUUUUGUCUCAUUUCUUGAUCUAUAAAUGUUUUUUUUUGUGAUUUUUGUUGUAUGCGAUCUCGAAGCAUAUACAAACAAGUUUGACGGUUUGAUCGUUAAAAUUAGUUUCAUAGAAUUCGUAUCCCAUCAAAACGAUAGAUUCACUAACACUUAGAGUUUAUUUAUACUUUCAUUAAGUAUAACAUAAGAUUUUGUGAUAUCCACUUGUGUAAAUAUUUUAAAUUGACGAUCAAAUUCAUUCAUUGUAUUCGUAUAGGGUCAAGGAGUGUAGCUGUUAAAAAUCAUCAACAUCGGAGUUAAAACAACCGUUAAAUCGUGAUUUUUUGUUUUAUAACCGUCGAAAAGAUUGGUCUCAUUACUUCCUCUUUGAAUGUUUGUAUUUUGUGAUUUUUGGCGUAUGCGAUCUCGAAGCAUAUACAAACAAGUUUAACGGUUGGAUCGUUACAAUUAGUUUCAUAGAAUUCGUAUCCCAUCAAAACGAUAGAUUCAUUAACACUUAGAGUUUAUUUAUACUUUCAUUAAGUAUAACAUAAGAUUUUGUGGUAUCCA
rnacentral:lncRNA from 1 species